AUACCUUUCUCGGCCUUUUGGCUAAGAUCAAGUGUAGUAUCUGUUCUUAUCAGUUUAAUAUCUGAUAUGUGGACCAUUGGUUCACACGAUAUUAAAUUUAUUUUUUGAGGGGGGAAAGCCUGUCGAGGUAGCUUGCUAUCUGGGCUUUCGAGCGUCGCCUAUGCGUUGCACUACUGCACAUGCCUGGCGCAUCCCGC